GAUGAACGCUGGCGGCGUGCCUAAUACAUGCAAGUCGAGCGAACAGACGAGGAGCUUGCUCCUCUGAUGUUAGCGGCGGACGGGUGAGUAACACGUGGAUAACCUACCUAUAAGUCUGGGAUAACUUCGGGAAACCGGAGCUAAUACCGGAUAACAUGUUGAACCGCAUGGUUCAACAGUGAAAGACGGUCUUGCUGUCACUUAUAGAUGGAUCCGCGCCGCAUUAGCUAGUUGGUAAGGUAACGGCUUACCAAGGCAACGAUGCGUAGCCGACCUGAGAGGGUGAUCGGCCACCCUGGAACUGAGACACGGUCCAGACUCCUACGGGAGGCAGCAGUAGGGAAUCUUCCGCAAUGGGCGAAAGCCUGACGGAGCAACGCCGCGUGAGUGAAGAAGGUCUUCGGAUCGUAAAACUCUGUUAUUAGGGAAGAACAAAUGUGUAAGUAACUAUGCACGUCUUGACGGUACCUAAUCAGAAAGCCACGGCUAACUACGUG
rnacentral:rRNA from 1 species